GGCUCAGUGGCCUACGGUUUAACUGACACCUCUCGUACGAGACCCCGAUGAGAUCUCCAUGGUAAAACAAAAAUGAGUUGGCUGUGCU